GAUGAACGCUGGCGGCGUGCCUAAUACAUGCAAGUCGAGCGAACAGACGAGGAGCUUGCUCUUCUGACGUUAGCGGCGGACGGGUGAGCAACACGUGGAUAACCUUCCUAUAAGACUGGGAUAACUUCGGGAAACCGGAGCUAAUACCGGAUAAUAUAUUGACCCGCAUGGUUCAAUAGUGAAAGACGGUUUUGCUGUCACUUAUAGAUGGAUCCGCGCCGCAUUAGCUAGUUGGUAAGGUAACGGCUUACCAAGGCAACGAUGCGUAGCCGACCUGAGAGGGUGAUCGGCCACACUGGAACUGAGACACGGUCCAGACUCCUAAGGGAGGCAGCAGUAGGGAAUCUUCCGCAAUGGGCGAAAGCCUGACGGAGCAACGCCGCGUGAGUGAUGAAGGUCUUCGGAUCGUAAAACUCUGUUAUUAGGGAAGAACAAAUGUGUAAGUAACUAUGCACGUCUUGACGGUACCUAAUCAGAAAGCCACGGCUAACUACGUG
rnacentral:rRNA from 1 species